UAUCUUGAAGAUACUACUUGUCUCUAAAAGGACCUAAGGAGGAACAUGGCAGCUGAACGUUUUAUGGGAAAGUCUGGACUCUUGACUCUGGCCCUGUGUGCCUUACUAAGUCUACAGGGGGCAGGGGCGAAUACCGGUAAUUGUAACUUAUAAUGAUAAUAAUUAUCAUGGAGGUACACCUGAUUGGGCUAUCGCUGUAAUUGUUAUGUUGGCCAUCCUUCUAGCCGGACUACUUUUAAGUUGCUGCCUUGUGCCCCUGUGCAGUGGUAUGUGCCAACGAGACGAUGGCUGCCAGGGCGGAAUCUCAUUUGGAAAGUAACCUUGAGACCUUUGGAUCCACAUCACCAGGAGACAUAACACCACAUCGAUAACCCUGGCUCUGCAAUAUCUUCUGGAUCUCGUAGCUGUGCUCUUUGAUCUAAUAAAUUAUUAUAUUUAAAUUAUGGGAAGCCUUUAC